rnacentral:lncRNA from 1 species
GGAUCUGGCAUUGCCGUGAGCUGUGGUGCAGGUUGCAGACAAAGCUCAGAUCUGGCAUCGCUGUGGCUAUGGUGUAAGCGGAUUCGACCCAGCCUGGAAACUUCCAUAUGCCGUGGGUCCUGUCCUGAAAAACAAAAGAAGAAGACGACCUCAUUAGGCUUCUUUGUGCAGAGAAGGAAGAAGAACCAAAGCAGAGUUGGAAUAUCAUUGGUGAAAGGCAGCAGUCUCUCAGAAGAUUUUAGUUAUUGUGCAUUGGAAUGUAGCCUUGUAUGUGUCCUGUUGAAAACGUUCCGUCCUCUUGACCUCAUCAUAUCUGCAUUGACAUUCUGUUGGGAACAUGUGAUCACCAGCAGGACUAACUUCCACUUUCUCAAUAUGUACUCCAUUCUUUCUGUAACUAAGCCUAUAAAAUCACUACUAUUAUUAGUCAUCUCCUAGAGAGGAGGACAUAAGCACAGAGAUCUCAAGUAACUUAGUGGUUACAAAGUCAGCCUUGUCGAAUAGGCUCUUCCCACCCACUCAACUCAGUCUCCUGAAAAUCUUUUUCUCAUCUCGAGGCUCAUGUCCUUUACCAUCAAACAAUGAAACUCCUACAUUUCACCAAGUUAGGGUUCAUUUCUUCACUUUCUUUACUUUGAAAUUACUUAAUACACCUAUGAAAUUACCACCUCAUAGGAGAAGAGGAUUUAUCUCAGGGUUUAAGAUUUGCAUAUUUUGGAUACCAGGAUCUAUGCUCCUGAGAUCUAUCUACCUCUCACCCAUAAUUUUCUUCCUCUAGUUUGUGAGAUCCUUUAAUAACCCCCCUAGUUGCAAUCCACUUCCCUUUUUAUGAUAGAGUUAACCGAGGAAAAAGCUAUACAUUAUUUCUGAUUUCUGGUUUCUUUUCUCAGAUCUGGUUUACAUACUCAAAUAAAUACAACAGUAACUCUUUCCUGGUGUCCUUCGCUCACUACACUCUCUGAUUUCCUCCUAUUCAGACUCUCCUUUGGCCCAUGGAGGUGCUUAGAUUACACUUUGCGCUAUUAUUUACUGGGAUGACCAAUCAGCUAUUUUGUUUUGUUUUGUUUCUCCUGCAACAAUCAGUUCAACUGUUACUUAUCAUUUUACUACACACAGACACUAAUAGAAAAUAAUAUGAUAGUACCCCCACAUUUCUAGGCAGGAGCAAAUAAUCCAAAAGAGAUAUUAAUAAUCCAAAUUUUAUUGACUCAUGGCCCCGCAUCUCCUGCUGCAGGAUCUCAGUUCUCAAGCCAAAGUCUCUCGCAGUUCUUUCUGCAAAUCUAGUGGGUAUCAUGUUUACAGUGAAGACUAACUCGUGUUUUACUUGGGCUUGCACACAGUGAGUCGUCAAAACCCUUGUGUUCAGCACACAUGUGCUCAGGGAAAAAUUCAUUCAAGCUUUCCCAUUUCAGUUUUUUUACUGAUAUUCACUAUCAGAAACUCAGAUAAGGGAGUGACUUGCCCCCUUCAGAGCUGACAGUGAUCUCUAGUCAUACCCAGAACAUCCCCUAGAGCAGUUUUCCUCAAACUACUUGUGCUGAAGGAAGAGUUUUCGACUCUAAUGUGACAUAAAACCAAUACAUUUGUAAAAGACAAUAAAAGUGAAUUUCCAGAAAAAUAGCAUAUUCUUGAAUGCCAUAGCAAUGUCAAAUUUCUACCAAAGUUUCAGAAUGCCUGUCUUCACUCUGUAUGAAUAGCUCAUGGAUUGGGACCACACUUUGAGCAGCACUGUCCUUGAACUUGAUCUCCUCACAUUCCCUAAGUUGCCGUAUCUUCCCAGGGACAAACUGCCCUUCAAUUUCAGCCCGAGUACAGAUCGUGAAAAAAUCUGUAUAAAGCUCAUGUCUCCAAGUCUGUGGUACACUUUUGUCAUCUGGGCCCUAGAAAUAGUAUGGUUUGUGUCUGAGUCUCAUUAAGCCCCUUAUGAAGAAAUCGCAUUUAAAAUAUUUUUCUUCCUACCACAGACGUGGGCCUGGAAUAUCAGGCCCAAUUGAGAAAAGUCUCCAUCCUGUCAUUUCCGAUUCUUCUGUCUCUCAUUUCCUAUUCCUCUGAAAGACUCCCCAAAGAACCAGGCCUCCCUCAUUUAUGAACUCAUGAAAAUAGAUAACUCAGAGGCGCUGACCCAUCAGUUUAUCAGCAUUUUGUGUUCAGCUGAGACUCUGUCUUCGUGUAAUUCUAAUUCAAUAUAUGGUAAUUCAGGCGCCAUGUUAG